rnacentral:rRNA from 1 species
UACGUAGGGGGCUAGCGUUAUCCGGAAUUACUGGGCGUAAAGGGUGCGUAGGUGGUUUCUUAAGUCAGAGGUGAAAGGCUACGGCUCAACCGUAGUAAGCCUUUGAAACUGGGAAACUUGAGUGCAGGAGAGGAGAGUGGAGUUCCUAGUGUAGCGGUGAAAUGCGUAGAUAUUAGGAGGAAUACCAGUUGCGAAGGCGGCUCUCUGGACUGUAACUGACACUGAGGCACGAAAGCGUGGGGAGCAAACAGGAUUAGAUACCCCGGUAGUCCCUGAGCGGGCU